rnacentral:rRNA from 1 species
AGACGUCUACAUUAGAUACCCGUGUAGUCCCAGCCGUAAACUAUGCGCGUUAGGUGUAUCGGUGACCACGAGUUACCGAGGUGCCGAAGGGAAACCGUGAAACGUGCCGCCUGGGAAGUACGGUCGCAAGGCUGAAACUUAAAGGAAUUGGCGGGGGAGCACCACAACAGGUGGAGCCUGCGGUUUAAUUGGACUCAACGCCGGACAACUCACCGGGAACGACAGCAAUAUGUAGGCCAGGCUGAAGACCUUGCCUGAAUCGCUG